rnacentral:rRNA from 1 species
AUGAAGAGUCGGACCUGCCCGGUGAAAUUUUUAACGGCCGCGGUACCCUGACCGUGCAAAGGUAGCAUAAUCAUUUGCCUUAUAAUUGAAGGCUAGUAUGAAUGGUUUGACAAGAAUAUAGCUGUCUCUUUAUAACUUAAUAGAAUUUUAUUUUAAGGUGAAGAAGCCUUAGUAAAAUUAAAAGACAAGAAGACCCUAUCGAGCUUUAAAAAACUUAAUAGAACUAAAUUAAUACAGAAUAAAAAAUUACCUAUUAAAAAUUUUGGUUGGGGCGACUGAGGAACAAAGAAAACUUCCUUUAUCAAAUAAAUACAUUCAAGUAUUGAUCCAAACUUUUUGAUUAAAGAAAUUAGUUACCGUAGGGAUAACAGCAUAAUCUUUUUUGAGAGCCCUUAUCGAAAAAAAGGUUUGUGACCUCGAUGUUGGACCAGAAUAUCCUAAAGAUGUAGAAGUCUUUAAGGGUUGGUCUGUUCGACCAUUAAAAUUCUA